rnacentral:rRNA from 1 species
GAUGAACGCUGGCGGCGUGCUUAACACAUGCAAGUCGAACGGAAAGGCCCAAGCUUGCUUGGGUACUCGAGUGGCGAACGGGUGAGUAACACGUGGGUGAUCUGCCCUGCACUUCGGGAUAAGCCUGGGUAACUGGGUCUAAUACCGGAUAGGCCCACUUCUUGGAUGUUGUGGGGGAGAGUUUUUUCGGUGUGGGAUGGGCUCGCGGCCUAUCAGCUUGUUGGUGGGGGAAUGGCCUACCAAGGCGUCGACGGGUAGCCGGCCUGAGAGGGUGGACGGCCACAUUGGGACUGAGAUACGGCCCAGACUCCUACGGGAGGCAGCAGUGGGGAAUAUUGCACAAUGGGCGCAAGCCUGAUGCAGCGACGCCGCGUGGGGGAUGACGGCCUUCGGGUUGUAAACCCCUUUCGCUAGGGACGAAGCGUUUUGUGACGGUACCUGGAGAAGAAGCACCGGCUAACUACGUG